GUGUUCAGAAGUGCCGUUGCCAUCUGAGUGUAUGUCACUGGAUGGGAUAUUUCCAUGGUCACAUACAUAGGCAGACAAAGAAAGAGAAAGUAAUGUAAUGUAAUGUAAAGUGAAAGUGCUUGCAAUCCAGGUAAAGCUCAACGACAAUGUCACAUAUACUGUGCAA